CUACGGGACGCUCCAGUGGGGAAUUUUGCGCAAUGGGGGAAACCCUGACGCAGCAAUACCGCGUGAGUGAAGAAGGCCUUUGGGUCGUAAAGCUCUUUUCUUGGGGAAGAUAGUGACGGUACCCAAGGAAUAAGCACCGGCUAACUCCGUGCCAGCAGCCGCGGUAAUACGGAGGGUGCAAGCGUUGUUCGGAUUUACUGGGCGUAAAGGGCACGUAGGCGGCACAGCAAGUUAAGGGUGAAAUCCCGGGGCUCAACUCCGGAACUGCUCUUAAAACUGCUGAGCUAGAGAUAGUCAGAGGCGGGUGGAAUUCCAGGUGUAGAGGUGAAAUUCGUAGAUAUCUGGAGGAACACCGGUGGCGAAGGCGGCCCGCUGGGGCUAUUCUGACGCUAAGGUGCGAAAGCGUGGGGAGCAAACGGGAUUAGAUACCCCUGUAGUC
rnacentral:rRNA from 1 species